rnacentral:rRNA from 1 species
CGCUGGCGGCGUGCCUAAUACAUGCAAGUCGAGCGAAUGGAUUGAGAGCNUGCUCUCAUGAAGUUAGCGGCGGACGGGUGAGUAACACGUGGGUAACCUGCCCAUAAGACUGGGAUAACUCCGGGAAACCNGGGCUAAUACCGGAUAACAUUUUGAACUGCAUGGUUCGAAAUUGAAAGGCGGCUUCGGCUGUCACUUAUGGAUGGACCCGCGUCGCAUUAGCUAGUUGGUGAGGUAACGGCUCACCAAGGCAACGAUGCGUAGCCGACCUGAGAGGGUGAUCGGCCACACUGGGACUGAGACACGGCCCAGACUCCUACGGGAGGCAGCAGUAGGGAAUCUUCCGCAAUGGACGAAAGUCUGACGGAGCAACGCCGCGUGAGUGAUGAAGGCUUUCGGGUCGUAAAACUCUGUUGUUAGGGAAGAACAAGUGCUAGUUGAAUAAGCUGGCACCUUGACGGUACCUAACCAGAAAGCCACGGCUAACUACGUGCCAGCAGCCGCGGUAAUACGU